rnacentral:misc_RNA from 1 species
GGGGGUUCGAGCCCCCCGUUGGGCG